UAAACCGGUUUAAUGUUUUCUGCACAGACCCUGGCUUUUCUUAAAUUUUAUAUAUUGGAAAGCCUGUGUUUGUAUUGGACCUUCUGGUUUC
rnacentral:pre_miRNA from 1 species